ACCUACCUAACUGGGUUAGGGCCCUGGCUCCAUCUCCUUUAGGAAAACCUUCUGUGGGGAGUGGGGCUUUGACCCUAACCCAGUUGGGCUGU
rnacentral:pre_miRNA from 1 species